UUCGGCCUCUGCUAUACAGUUUAGGACGCAAAAAGGUUCACCAUCUUUUCAAUUAUUUUACACUAAUUUUUUUGUUCAAGAAGGAACGUACCUUUUUGAACCGCCUAUUCAAAGGAGGCCACAAGCAUGACUGGUAAAGUAAAAUGGUUUAACGCUGAAAAAGGUUUCGGUUUUAUCGAGCGUGAAGACGGAGACGACGUAUUCGUACACUUCUCUGCGAUCCAAGCAGAAGGUUUCAAGACUCUUGAAGAAGGUCAAGACGUUGAAUUUGAAAUCGUUGAAGGCGACCGCGGACCACAAGCUGCUAACGUAGUAGGUCUUUAAGAAGAGCUGAAUACUCAGGAAUAGAGGGGUAUAUUCCAUAUGGAAUAUACUCCUUU
rnacentral:sRNA from 1 species